AGGUGCGCGGUGGCAGUCAAUAAGAGAGAGGAAGUUGGCUGGUAUGUAGUGAAUAGUUAAAAGCUAUCUAAUGAUGCGUGUUAGAUUUGAUUCAACUAACUGAUCUAUGUUUCAUUUAGAACAGAUCGGAGUAAGGAGGACGUGGAGGAAAGGUACGUGGGUCUCUUUCGAUUCUUGUAGUAAAGUGAAACGUUUGCUGGCACUGUGAUAGAAUUAUCACUGGAACCUAAGUGAUUCAUAGGUUAGUUCAUCAGUAUUUAGUCUCUGCAUACAAAGAUAGGAGUAGAUCUAUGUAGUUUUGCUUACUCUAUAGAAAUGGACAUGAAUAUUCACUGUAAACAAAUGAAAAAGCAGUUGACUAAGUAGGAAAUGCCAUUAUUUGAACUGAAGGGGGCAUAGAUACAUGAAGUUCUCUCAUAGAUUAGGUGUAUAAAUAAUUGGGGAUUGUAAAUCAUGACCACACUUUUUGUGAAACUUAACGUGGUUAUAGUAUGUUGAUGUUGUCCAUAAAUUUUUGAUGUCAAAUAACUAUGUAUUCAUUGUUAUGUUACUAAAUUAAAUUGAAGACAUAAUCUAAGUUGUAUCAAUAGCAUUGUAGUGUGCAGCAUAGCCAUGGUAAUAUAUAGACGAGACGGUUAUGUACACAGUAUUAGUGUUUGUACCCGAUAUUUUAUACGACUAUAUUUGUUCAUUACAACUCUAGUUUGUUCAUGCUCAAAUUGAUUAGAUUAUGACUAUAAUUCAUCUUUUUUAUAUUGACCCGUGUAGAAUGACAAUAGAAGAAUUGUGCCCUAUGAGUGAUAUUGGAAAGACAUUCCAGUGGUACGAUGAUUGCUACAGAAAGAUUAGUACCAAUGUUACUAGGAAGGUACAAUAUUAUUAGCUAAUUAUCAUUAAUUGAUAAUAUACUAAUAUCUAAUUGUCUGGAACAUGGGUUUUUGUAUUUCAGGAAAUAAUUAGGAUUAAUUGAGAGUUAGUAGUGCGAGAGUUGGGUUGCUUGCUAAACAACACACAACUACAUUUUAGCCGUACUUGCAUAGAGAGCAAUGAUUGGCAAUAAGCCUUUCUUUUUAGAUUCCAAGAAAUGGC
rnacentral:lncRNA from 1 species